CCACGAGCCAAUUCAGCUCGGGGUGAUCCAACGGCGCAUUAGCCCCGCCCAUUCCGCGACUUUUCCCCGGGAGGGCCUUCCACGUCUGCAGUGGUCGGGGAGGAAACCCUCGCUCGCUCGAUCUCCCGAGCGAGAAGCGGCGGCGGCGGCAAGAUCCACGAACGACGCACCACCACGCUCCGCCCUCCUCUGUCCAACGCUCCGCCGGGCAACACGCACCACCGCCCUACACCUCCACGCCCCGCUCCUCCGGCGGGGGCGACGGCGACUGCGACCGGGGGCAUCAUCCUCCCCCUUCCCGGAUCUCGUCUCUGCCUCAAAGCUUCAGUCACUUCCGGCGAAGACGACGGCCAGAGGUCAUCCUCCUCUUUCUCACCAAGAUAGACGGACCUCCUCUCCUGUCUGAGAUUUGUACCCAAGUGAGCAGCUGUACUGAAGAGCAUCGAAUGCUUUGAAGUGCUCUAUCUAUCCUGACAUCACAAGUGCUCUGACAUUAGAAGUUGGCUUUAUCCGAAGACUUUGUGUUCAAUUGCUUGGUGCCUUUUGAUUCGUCGAUCAUUGAGAAGUUUUCACUCGGAGCAAGAAAGGUAUGUGACGCAGUCAUCCCUUUGACAUGGCCACUGAGCAAGCUUAAAUUAUGCAAAACUACUGCUCUUGUGAUGUUGUUUUUCUCUGCCUAGUAUUGAAAGUGGUCUUAUUUUAGUAUAUGAGAAAACUGAUGCUCUUAAUUAUGUACUUAGAUGUUACAAUAGAAAUGGUAUUAUCUUUGUAUUCACUCCUGAGCUUCCUAGGCUCCUAGCUAUUGGUUCUUUGCAGCCAUAAUAGAGAUGGUAUUAUUAUUGCUUUAUUUAUAAUUAUUAUCGUUGUAUUAAUUUUGUUUUCAUUGGGUAUAAUAGUGAUGGAUUCUAGGAGAAAUAAAAUUAUUAAGAUUAUCUCGCAAGAACAAGAAGAAGACGAUGAACUAUUUUUCUUUUUGGUUCCCGCUUUAUAUGCUUCCCUUUAUGAGGAAAAGCAUCCAGUUCACACAUCAUCUUUAUCUGGAGCUGCAAAGGUUAAGGAAAUAUUAGAAGGCCACGAGAGUUGGUCUAGGGUUGAGUUUCGGAUGGAACCUGAGAUUUUCAAGUCUAUCGUGGAUUACCUUAGAAGAGAGAAUCUAUUGAAGGGCACAUCGCGUGUUGCUGUCAAGGAGCAGUUGGCAAUGUUCAUGUACAUGAUUUCGCACAAUGCUAGUAAUCAAGAUCUACAAAAAUACUUCCAACACAGCGCAGAAACAAUUCAUAGGAAGAUAAACAGGAUUUUUGACUUAAUUCCAACUCUAGCCCAAAGAUUUAUAAAGAU